UGACAAAACCAUUGAAUAGAAGGGGGCUAGUAGUUCCUAAAAGAUGUUAUUCUAGAGGCUCAACAUCAAGUUAGUCUGACGCAGAGGAAAGAUAAGAAGAGCCACAGGAGGCCAAUGUGGCUGCACAAGUAGCUUUUU